UGGUGUCAGGACUCCUCUCUUG
rnacentral:piRNA from 2 species